rnacentral:miRNA from 1 species
AACUAGCUCUGUGGAUCCUGAC